rnacentral:misc_RNA from 1 species
AGAGAAACAGAAAGAAAAGAUGUGGAAAUAAAUAUAUAAACGAAAUGAUUUGUUACGCAAGGGAGAGGGCAAUUUGCCAUGUAUAGAGGAAAGAGGAUGCUAAUUGACAUGCAUUUGAAGAAAUAUUGUAAAUGACAACAAUAAGAUAUUGGAAUUUGAAAUUAGAUCCAUUGCACAUUAUGGGGCUAAAUUUUGUUUGCCCAAAAUUUAGUAUUGUAGAUUCUCUCUUUCUAGUAUUGUAGAUUUCGGCUCUUCCCUGCUUUUGUGGUCAUCUUGGUUGUCCCUGUGUUGGACACUUAUCUUUACCCCUCUGGCCAUUGAUUGUUCUUUCUUGUUUUACUGUAAAUUCUAGAUCUGCAUUGUUCACAUUAUUAUUUCCACCUGUUCUUGCAGGCUCGAUAAGACUAAGUUUUAUG